AUUAUGCUUGUUAUUUAUGAGAUGCAUAUAAGUGAUGAUCAAGAAUAGCAAUAUAUUUAUUUUGUUUGGACACGUGAUGAAUGAUAUAUAUACAGUUUUGGAUGGCUGCUUGCACAAGUCGAUUUUUUUGAAACAUAUGCAUGUCUCGAUAAAUUAGAGAUAAAUGUUAUUAAAUGUAAUUCUUUCGAGGCCAACCAAUCAGCCACCGUUUGGUUCGGGGUUAAGAAAAAGUAGCUAUUUCAGGGAUAGGGUUAAGUUCAGGGUUAAAAUUGUGUUAAAAUUUUUUUGUGUUUGGUUGGAGGUUGGAGUUAGUCUAGGAUAGUGAAAAAAAGUGUUUGGUUGGAGUAGGUGGGAUAAGAAGAUAAUGAUUGAUAAAGAAGAAAAAGGUGAGAGCUCGGGAUGCGUGCGGGGUUAAAGUUGGGAGGGGGAGUGGGGUUAAUGAUUGAUAAAGAAGAAAAAUGUGAGGGCUCGGGAUGCGUGCAGGGUUAAAGUUGGGAGGGGGAGUGGGAUUAGUAAACCUCACUAACCCAGUUUGGGGUGGGGUUAGUAAACCCCACCCCAAAAGAGUGGUGUUUGGGUAUAAAUUGGGAGUUAAGGGGUUAUUCCACCUCUUAAUCCCCAACCAAACGGUGGCUCAGAGACAAAAAUUUACAGUUCUAGGUGCAUGAGAAAUUUCAAAGCGGGCGGCCUAUAUUUAUUUUGAAUAAAAUUUUAGAGGGUCCACAGCAGUUCCAAGCCUUCGCAGCUCAUCUCCACUAGCUGCCUGCUAAUUCCAACCAUAUAUCACAGCCUGUUUUGCCUAAAUUUUAAAAAAAAAUAUAUAAAUUUUAUAAAAUUUGUUGGAAACGUGAUUUGCUCUGAUACCACUUCUUGAAGCAUGAUUUUCUCUGAUAUCAAUUGUUGGAAGUGGUAUUUAUGCUGAUACCAAUUAUAUAACUCAAGAUCUAAAAUAGAACAAAAUAAUAUAGAGAAGAAAUAUUGGAGGAGGAAACAGAUAACUAAACUAAUACUUUAUUAAUAAAAGACAAUUAAUUACAUUAUGGGCAACACCUAACCUAUGCUGUAAUGUCUACUAUAUCUUCUUCUCUAAUUAAUUCAUACCUAACUAGAUAUAGCCAUCAAAUCAUAACAGAUGAUAAAUCCAACUUUACUUUGGAUAAUUACAAAUCUUAACCAUAAUCAAAUAAAGACUUAAACUUGUCUCUAACUAAUUUAUAAAUUAAGUUUGGAUUAUUAUUCCAACGAAAUUAAUUUUAAUUUGAAGAGUUGAUUUUGAUUAAAA
rnacentral:lncRNA from 1 species